UACGAAGGGGGCUAGCGUUGUUCGGAAUUACUGGGCGUAAAGCGCACGUAGGCGGGUUGUUAAGUCAGGGGUGAAAUCCUGGAGCUCAACUCCAGAACUGCCUUUGAUACUGGCAACCUAGAGACUGGAAGAGGUUAGUGGAAUUCCCAGUGUAGAGGUGAAAUUCGUAGAUAUUGGGAAGAACACCAGUGGCGAAGGCGGCUAACUGGUCCAGCACUGACGCUCAUGCACGAAAGCGUGGGGAGCAAACAGG
rnacentral:rRNA from 1 species